GUUCUAUAAUCUUCCCUUAUUCUCUAUCUUUUUCAUUUGUUUCAAAACUUGAUUUUUAUUUAUUUAUUUAUUUAUUUAUUUUUUGCUAUUUUCUUUGGGCCGCUUCUGCGGCAUAUGGAGGUUCCCAGGCUAGGGGUCGAAUCGGAGCUGUAGCCACUGGCCUAUGCCAGAGCCAGAGCAACGCGCAAUCCGAGCCGCGUCUGCAACCUACACCACAGCUCACGGCAACGCCGGAUUGUUAACCCACUGAGCAAGGGCAGGGACCGAACCCGCAAACUCAUGGUUCCUAGUCGGAUUCGUUAACCACUGCGCCACGACGGGAACUCCCCAAAACUUGAUUUUUAAUUCUUGGUUGUUUUAUUUUGUUUUUUUGUUUUUGCUGCCCCCAUGGCAUAUAGAAGUUCCCGAGCCAAGGAUCAAACCCAUGCCACAACAGCGACUCCAGCAGCUACAGCGACAACACCAGAUCCUUAACCCUUUGCACCACACAAGAACCCCCUUCUCUUAUUUUCCAGCUCUACAGCCCUAUACCUCUACAGUGUGAGGUUUACUCUGACACUUAUGGCUACAGGAUAUCAAACUCAACCCAGUUAAGUGCUGGGAUUUCUAACCCCUGGAAAGUCAUCAUUUGUGAAGGGGUUGUAGGUGUGUGCAGACAAAUGCAGGCACAGGUUUGUGCAUUUGUGUGUGAACAUGUGUUCCCAUCCUGAAGUGCGGGUAUGUGUGGGCAUAGGGUGUGGUGCUGUGUGUAUACGUGUUAUGUAAGUAGACAUGUGUGAGUUUGUGAAUUUGCAUCCUAUGCACAUGCAUGAGAGUGCACUUGUGUGUGCAGCAAGCACAGGGAACGCCAGGUAGGAGGAAUGGCAUUCACAGGCCCUUCCUGGUUCCAAGUUCCCUAGAACACUUUCUUUGCUUCAGGAGGGUAUUCCUCCCACAGCCGCCCUUUGCUCCCACAGAAGGGCAUUAUUGUCCUUGAGAACAAGGCGGGGAACUCAGUGACUCUGUCAUUAGGCACCAAACAAACAUACGUGAGUAACACUUUACGAAGGUCUUUCCCUUCCCUGUCUUCUCCCCCCACACUGAACCUGUGCAGUUAAUAUCAUCAGCCCUAUUUUUCAGAUGAGCUCACCGAGGCUCUCCCAGAGGCCAAGUGACAAGUGAGAGAAGUACUUGGGCCUGGUCAUUCCUGGUCACUGCCUAUGGGCAGGUAGAGCAGGCCCUGUACAGACACGGCUCUUUUCUUGGACACCUCUUUCUGUGACUUCUUCCUGGCCCAUCACGAUCGAGGGUCAGGCAGGACUCAAGGCCAGUGUGUGGAGCAGGGAUGGUGGGCAGCAGCCCCAGCCCUGAAGCUGGGGGCGGGGGUGGGCAUGGAGCCACAGCCCUGGGUAAAGCAGGCUGCUGAGGCCCACGGACAUGCCAGGCCUUGCCUCAGCCUGCUGCUCCUGGAGAUUAGCAGCUGCGGUCACGGGGCCAGGGAGCCAUCUCCUUGAGCAGCUGGGCUGGGCGAGGCAGGGCGGGGACGAGGGAGCUACUCACGGGCAGGAAGAGUUUCUUGUGGCCCCGUGCCAGAGCACCUGGGGUCACUAGUCCAAUGUUCAUGUCCCAAGCUGGGGCAUCACUGGUUCUCUGAGUCUGAAACCCCUGCUGUGUCUGCAGCCCAGGCAACUUGCCAGGCACACCAGUCAUCUGGUCCACUCCUCACAGCAAUGCUACAAAGUGGCUACUUUCGUGCCCAUUACAUGGCUAAGAAAAUUGCAGUCCUCAGAGAUUAAGUGACUGCUCCCAAACACACACAUGAGCUGGAAUCAGCAGCAGAAGACCCAAGCUCUCAUUCCAGCUGGGUCCAGGCAGAGCCCAGAAUAAGGUGAUUCGUGUCAGAAAUUGUGCUGGGAACUGUCCCAGGUACUUCUUAGGUAAUGUCUCACUUAUACCACAAAAAUCAAUGCAGUAGAGAGCAUCAUCUCCAUACUGGAGAAGCGGAAGCAAACUCGGAAUAAUUAAUUUGCAUGCCCAAUGUCUUAAAUAGAAAGAUCCAAACCCAGGUACACAUGCCUCAAAAAACCUAAUGCAGCUGGGAUGGUCUUCCUAAAAUAUACAUCUGACCAGGCCUCGCCUCUGCUUCCCACUUCUCCCUGGUGCCUCGAAGACCACAGGGAAAUUCAAAAGCCUUAAUUUGGCAUCCAGGACCAUCUACCACCUGGCCAUGAGCACUGCUCCUUCUUCUCUAGGGCACCCCUUCCACCUCGCAGCCUCCUGCAGCCACGGCACCAUAGCCCCUUGAACGUGUUAUGUAUUUGCAGAGCUCUGGUCUGUGCAAAGCCUGGUCCAUCUGCCAGAAAGGCCCUUCACCCCUUCUCCACCUGUCAAAUUCCCAUGUCACAUGGUAGGAUCAGAGAAAGUGUCCUAGAGGAGGUGUCAUUUGAGUUGGAGUCGGUUAAUCCUCUGGAUUCAUAAAACAACUUUCACAUUCGUUGCAGCUUGAUAUUACUGCAGAGACAUUGGUGUUUAUAUCUGGUCACUAGACUAGGAAUGCUCUCAGGGCAGAGAUGAUGAACUGUUUAUCUCUGUAUCCUAGCAACUGGCACAGGGCCUGGUCUAGCACAAGCAUGCAGCUAGAGUUUGUGGAUGGAUGCAUGGAUGCAUGAAAGGGAGAAGAGCUGGAUGGACGCUUGGAUGGAGAAAUGUAUGGAAAUAACAUAAUGGAUGGAUGGAUGAAUGACUUGUUUGGAAAAUAGAUAAAUUAAUGGAGAUCUUGGAAGGAUGGAAGAAGGAACAAGUGAAUUACAAUAUCAACAAGCACAAAACUAUUCGGCACUGACAGCGUAUAGGGAAUGCCCUCUCUAUUCUCCACACUUACACCACACUCAGCCACUAACACAAGGAGCCUCCCUGCUUGCCGUCCUUACAACUCAUUGUUCCAGGCUGAAAAAGACCUGGCAGGCCCCUUUGGGCAAGGAAUGGAAAAGUGUCCCAGAUGGGGUGGGAAAGGACCCCCACCCUUUGUGUUGAGCUCACAUCCUGGAAACCCAUGGCUGUACUCUAGGAAGAUGCGGGGCCUGCCCUGUCCCCUGAGAUGAGCUAAGCAGGGAGUAGCCCACAGUUCCAUCUUUCCAUUAGCUAAGAACUCUUCCAAUCCUGGCCUCUCCCAGGUCCAAAUUCCACUGCCCAGGAUAAUUGGAGCUGGGGACUAAACCCAGCGUUAGCUUCAAUCCUGAAACCAAAGCCACACUUGCAAUAGUAAGAGGAUCCUUGGGGGUCAGCAUCUAGGAGGUGCAGAGGCAGAAGAAACUGGACCAACAUCUAUAGACAGCUGGAGGCAGCUGGGCCACCAUCAGGGGUGGGUUCUGAGAGCCAUGGUUCUGAACUCCCAGCAAGGGGUUGAUUUCUCCCCAGGAGCACAGAGUCCAAAGCAUGGGCUCCUUCUGAGGAGGGGUGAGGGCACCGGCUUCUCCCUGGGUUCCACUCCACCCCUCACAUCCCCACACACCCCCUCGGCCUCGCAUCUGCGAGCAAGUCCCUGCCAAGUAAACAGCUGCAGCCCAUGCUCCAAGGCUCCCCAAACCCCAGCACUACCCACAAUAGCCAAAGCCACAUCCCAUCCGUCCCCCAGCACGGGGCCCACGGGAGGGGAAAUGCUCGUUAAUCACAGGGAGACGGCUUCCGGGCAGCCUCGAAGACAGGCCGAGGAGACCGGAGCUGGGAGGAAGCUCCCCACAGCUUCCCAGGGGAAGGCAGGGCUCCUGCUCUGACCCAGUACUGAAUUCAUCAGCCAAUGGCUUGCCGCCUGGUGCCCCAGGAAUCGUUGAGAGCCAGCCAGCCUCGGUUGUGGCCUGGAAGAGAAGGGGAGAUGUGUCCUCUGCCACCACGCCUUCCUUUCCCCAUCCAGUGAGGCACUGAAGAGAGCUUCUGAGGUCAGAUGGUUGAAGUCUUGGUUCUUUGCCUGGCCGUCAGCUGGUCGUGUGACUUUGGCUUUAGAUUCUGCACACUGAGGACAGAGCUCUGGCUCUACCUGUGUGCACAUCCUAGCAUUAGUCAUCACACUGUGGGAAGGGCCCCUACUGAUGCCCAUACUCUCCAUCCCUAGACCCAGAGAAGAGCAAGUCAACCAUGGUCCUUGGCCUGAUCUGGGUCACUGGCAGUGGUAUUACCGGGUCAGCAUGGUUUUUUAAAAACUAUGGAGUUGAAUGUUUUUGGGUGGGAUGUGUUGUCAGUUAAACACACCUAUCUCCACCACUGCACAUUGCCCAAAACCUACCCCGUCUCACACUUAACGUGCCUGCAUAGUCCCUGGAAUCAGUCAGGAUGGGCUAGGUUUUGCUGCAGGAAUAGCCAGCCCCCAAAUCUCAGUGGUUUAACAAAGCAAAUUUAACUUCCUGAUCAAGGUAUACAUCAGUCCUGGGUGGAAGGGGUCUCAGCAUCACUUUGAAGGCUGAUGGAGUCUCCAUCCCAUCAUGUGCUUCCAUGGUCACCAAGACAGGGAAGGAAAUGGCAAGUGACACUCCUGCCAUUACGGCUUCCACUUAGGAACAAAACAUUUUGUUUCUGCUUGCAUGCCAUUGACCAUGACAGGUCACACAACUUUACCUCCCCUCAGAGAAGGAUAGGAGAGCAGUCCCACCAUGUGUCCAGAAGGAGGAGAAAACAAACUGGGAUAUCUGAGCAGGCCUAAUGACUGCUGCUCCCCAAAGGCAGAAAUUUGCAGCCUCUAGUGGAAUGAAUGAGGCCCCAGACUGCACAAUGUGGAAGGCACAAAGGGAGCAGCAGACCUGAAGCAGCUUCUGACCCUCCCACAACCAUCCCUGAGCAGUUGCUUUGGGAUCCAGCACUGUACUAUGUCCUGAGAUGCUAGGAUGUCAUGCCCUGGAGAGUGCGGUGGUACCUGGGAUGCCAGGCCCCAGGAGAUGCAGUAAGAAGUAGAGCAGAGUCCCUGCCCCAGAAAUCACAGUCUAGUUGGGGCACACAUCGACAGUUGAGUUCUAUACAAGGGGCUAUUUUAUGGUUGGCUAAGGGAACAAUAAUCUCAUGGUUCCCUGAUUCCUAGGCAGAGGAGAUGGCAUUUGGGAUAAGUUUCAAAGGAAACAUAGCUGCUGUCAAGUGGCUAAGUCAGGGAACAGCAACAGUAAAGGCACAGAGGGGUCAGGGAAGAAUUUGUGGUUGCGAGUGGCCACAGUGGAAUAGCUGUCGGGAUAACAGCAAUGACCGGGAAGGGAUGGUUGGACCAAGUUGAGAAGGGCCUUGAAUGUCAUGCUUGAAUGCCAGGUCCUGUUGGAAUGUAUCCUGGGGCAAUCUUAUGAACUUGAGGAUUCCAAGCUUCAGAAAGUAUGACAACCUUGGUGACCCUUGACCUUCUGGAGCAUUUACUCUGUGCGAGCCCUUCACUCAGGAGGUUGCAUGGGUCAUCUCACUGAGGCCUUAGAGCAGCUCCCUGGUGUAGGGUUUAUCAUUGCCCCAUUUUACAGUGGGGAAAUUGAAACCCGUAGAGGUUGACAAUUGCCCGAGAUAACACAGGUGGAAAGUGUCAGGGCUAGGAUUGGAACAUGGAUCUGUCAGAUCUAUUAGGACACCCACUAGAACUCAGGCACUAGAUGGUUCUCACAAAUACCUGAACUUAUUUUCCUCCUAAACCACAUGGAGUAUGCAUCACCAUCCCUAUUUUAUGGAUGAGGAUACUGAGGCCCCAAGAGGUCCCCCAAAGAGCAAAUGGUUAAUAAGCUGGCAGACCUUGUGCAAAUUGGGAUUGGGACUAGGGUGUGCCUGUCUCCAGAGCAGGCUUGGCAGUGGGAGUUGACCACAGAGCCCCAGGGAGCAGGGCUCUUGGAGAAGCCAUGGCUGAGAGUAAGGAGCCUGGAGCAGUGGCAGGAAUUGAAGACAGACAUCUGCCAGGAGCUGGCUGUCCACUCACCCUUCUCAGACCAAGCCCUGUCUCCCUAUCCUCACCCUGCCUUUGGUGCC
rnacentral:lncRNA from 1 species